rnacentral:rRNA from 1 species
GAUGAACGCUGGCGGCGUGCUUAACACAUGCAAGUCGAACGGAAAGGCCCAAGCUUGCUUGGGUACUCGAGUGGCGAACGGGUGAGUAACACGUGGGUGAUCUGCCCUGCACUUCGGGAUAAGCCUGGGAAACUGGGUCUAAUACCGGAUAGGACCACUUCUUGGAUGGUGGGGUGGAAAGUUUUUUCGGGGUGGGAUGAGCUCGCGGCCUAUCAGCUUGUUGGUGGGGUAAUGGCCUACCAAGGCGUCGACGGGUAUCCGGCCUGAGAGGGUGUACGGCCACAUUGGGACUGAGAUACGGCCCAGACUCCUACGGGAGGCAGCAGUGGGGAAUAUUGCACAAUGGGCGCAAGCCUGAUGCAGCGACGCCGCGUGGGGGAUGACGGCCUUCGGGUUGUAAACUCCUUUCGCUAGGGACGAAGCGUUUUGUGACGGUACCUGGAGAAGAAGCACCGGCUAACUACGUG